rnacentral:rRNA from 1 species
UACCGAGGUCCCAAGCGUUGUUCGGAUUCACUGGGCGUAAAGGGUGCGUAGGCGGUCGGGUAAGUCUGAUGUGAAAUCUCACAGCUUAACUGUGAAACUGCAUUGGAUACUAUCCGGCUCGAGGAAUGGAGGGGAGACUGGAAUACUUGGUGUAGCAGUGAAAUGCGUAGAUAUCAAGUGGAACACCAGUGGCGAAGGCGAGUCGCUGGACAUUUCCUGACGCUGAGGCACGAAAGCCAGGGGAGCAAACGGG